GACAGAGGGGGCAAGCGUUGCUCGGAAUCACUGGGCGUAAAGGGCGCGUAGGCGGGACGCCAAGUCGGUCGUGAAAUCUCCGGGCUCAACCCGGAGGAGUCGGCCGAAACUGGUGUUCUUGAGGGAGGCAGAGGAGUCUGGAAUUCCCGGUGUAGCGGUGAAAUGUGUAGAGAUCGGGAGGAACACCGGUGGCGAAGGCGGGACUCUGGGCCUACCCUGACGCUGAGGCGCGAAGGCGUGGGGAGCGAACGGG
rnacentral:rRNA from 1 species